rnacentral:lncRNA from 1 species
UAGAAAAAAACUAUAAUUAGUUUAAUCUUCAAGUUGGUAACAAGUGUAAAAAUUUAGAAACAUAACAUAUUAGAAAAUAUUUUCAUUUAAUAUUACAAAAAUUAGAAUAUAUAUCCAUAUAAUUGACUACAUUUAGAGUUUUUUUUUGGACAAAUUAAUUUUUUCAUUUUUUUUUUAAAAGUUGAAGACAAAGCACAAUUUUUUUUUUGUUAAAGGGUUUGAAGACAAAGCACAUUGGUUUGGCCGAGAACUAUAUAUAAACAUAUGUGUAGAGCUCCAGUCUUCAAACAUUUUAUUUUCUACAAACAUUUUUUAAAAUUUCUAAAUUUGUUAAGAGUUUAGUAAAAUAGUGAUUUGGCUUGAUAUGGAUCAAAAUAAAAUGUUAGAGAAAGUUCUUACAAACACCGAUCUUUCCCACAUGGGUAGGUUAUAUUAACCAAAAUUGCAGAUAGAGAAGAUACUACGCACUAUAGAAAAUUUUGUAAUGCCUCCAAGUGGUCUUCAAGUGGAAGUUUUAGAGAAUAACAAGAGUUACUGGGUAACAAUAAAAAUAGACCAUGAUAAAUAUUUUAUGUGCUCAGGGUGGAAUAAUAUAGAAGCAAGAAGGCUCAAAACAGGCGAUAAAAUUAUAUUGUAUUUACAAGAUAACAAAUUCAUUUUUACUAUGCAUUGAUUCUUUAUUGUUUAUUUCUUAAAAAUGUUAUCUCUCAUUAUUCUAUUUUAAUAUACCUAUUCUAAUAUUUUGUCUUAAUGAUAAUAUUUUGGAUGGGUUUAUGUAUUUUAUAACUACAAAAAUAGCUUAUCAAUUUAAAUGAGAUCUAAAUUCUAAAUUAUGGGUAUGUGAGUAUAUGUGAGUAUAAAGUUUGGACUAUGCAUUGAUCAAAAGCUUUUAAUCGAAGGAUAUGGAAGUUAUCGAUUAGAAAGAUGAGGUUUUACUAUCUUCCUUAUUGUUUCUCUGAAUGGUUUCUCGGCGCAUAAAUAUAUAUAAUGGAUCACCAAGAAUUUUCAUGUUAUUUUGCUCAUUAGAAAUCACCAAGAAUUUUCAUGUAUAGCAUUUCCGAACUUAGAAUUUUCUAAUAUGAAACAAUUUAGAACUAAAAGGCCUUUUGGGUUGUGUCCAAAAAGAAAAACCUCACACGUUGACAAUGUAAAAUUCCAUGAUUUAUUAUAAACUCUUUCAUGCAUGCAAUUGGUUAGUUUUUGCAAGUUGGGCUACAAUGACGUUUUUGUUAUCGGUUUCUCAAUCACUCCUUUUCUGUCUCCAUGUAUCGUCGUCACUUUCCUCUAUUUUACUUGAAAAUAAUACCAUUAAUUCAAAACAUCUUUUAAUUUGGUCGGUUCAAAACAAAAUAAAAAACCAUAGCCAUUAUUUGAUAGUAACUGCAGUUCAAUUGCAUUUUUAUUUGUGAUAAUAGAUGGAGCAAAAUUAGUUUGUCAACAAUUUUUUCUUUCGUAAUACUAAAAUUUAUUUUCUUUGGUAGAAGCUUGUCAGUGUGUAACAUGAAGAGAGGAUUUUGGAACCGGAUACAAUACAUUGAUAAGAGAGGAAUCAAUGAUUUGAUUAAACAAAGCCAAGACGAACCGGACUAAACCGGAGAUAGAAAAAAUACUUUAUAAACCAGAAAUCAAUAGAAACACACCAAGGGAAGAAGAAGGGAAAGCAAGCAAGCACCAGAAGAUUCUAAGUAUACUACUAACAAGCUUUAAACUGAACACAAACCCCAAACCGAAGAGAAUAAAAACAGAGUAUUCUACAUAGUCUUGCAUAGUUACGUUUCAUCAGCCAAAACUUGAAAAGAAGAGAAGCCAGUGAAAACAAAAGUUUGAAUCUCUGAACAAGGAGCAACCGAAAUAAACAGUUUACCUUUAGUUUAAGAAGAGCAACAUGCUCGUUUCGCGCCUCCAGAUGUGUCAUCGACGUUAAUCGUAGUUCCUUGCCCAGGGAUUGCAGAAUUAGCUGCUGCUGCUUCUUGUGCAGCCAGUGCCUUUUUGCUUAUGAUAUGGUAGAUCUCACCUAAGAUGGUCUGAAACGCUUUCUCGACGUUUGUUGCUUCAAGAGCAGAUGUCUCCAGGAAAGAGAGACCUUCCUUCUCAGCCAAACUUUGACCAUCUUCCUCAGCAACGGAUCUCAAGUGGUUCAGAUCGGAUUUGUUCCCAGCCAUCAUGAUCACAAUGUUGGAAUCUGCAUGGUCUCUCAGUUCGCGCAGCCACCUUAAAACAUUGUCAAAGGUCUGUCUCUUAGUAAUGUCGUAGACAAGAAGUGCACCCACUGCGCCUCUGUAAUACGCGCUUGUGAUCGCCCUGUACCUCUCCUGACCUGCAGUGUCCCAGAUCUGGGCCUUAAUGGUCUUUCCUUCAACCUGUGUAUGCAUGAGAGAUUCACCGUAACAACCAGUUAGAUCUUAGGUAUUGAAGCAUUCCCAGGUUUAUGAAUAAGAAUGCUAAUUCAACAAUCAAAAGUAAAGAACAUAUAUCUUCUCAGUUGUUAAAACCAGGUUAGUAACAUUAUUAACAAUCAACAUUUUAAAUGCAUCUUUCCGCAUUCAACUACAUAAGUGUAUCAUAGAAUUCCUCUUGUCAAAAAAUUUAUCGGUUGACUUUACGAAAGUAUAAAGGUGGACAAGGUCAAGCAUGACAAAUGAUCAGGAAAUAGAAUGAAUUAUUGAGACAAGCUGUGAGAAUCUUCUUAUUUUUUUUAAUUGGCCUUCACGACCAUCCAUUUAUAGUCUUAAAAUGAGAAAAGCAUCUGUCAUAACUCAUAGCCAGCACAACUAAGAUUUUUUCUCUUGAACAAAAGAUUCAGUAGCUGAGAAAAAAUCCGCCGUCUACUCUCUCAAAACACUGUAUUCUUCAAUCUUAAGAAACCAACGCAACCAAAAACCUUAAGACCUAUCACUUAAUUGCUAUCCAAAUCAAAGAAACUAACGAAGAAGCAACUUUAAACGAAACAAAACAGACUAAAAGCUCUAGAGCCAUCACUUGAAAUUAACCAUCGAAUACCUGAAUUCUACACUACACUAAUGAGGUCAUGAAGCUACAAGCAAAACCAAAUUACAUAAUUGAAAUAUACACUACACUAAUGUGGUCAUGAAGCUACAAGCAAAACCAAAAUACAUAACUGAAGACGGUAAAUCUAUGUAUAGCAGUGAAAGUAAAAACCUUCACGGAUUAUAGCUAAAGAUAAAUCAAAACAGAGACAAGCUAAUAAGAAGAAAAAACCUAUCCCAAAAUCCCAUCUUUAAGCCUCUUAACAUUAUAUACCAAACCUAAAUUACUAUCUCUUCGUAUUACUCUGAUUCUAACAGCAAAUAUUCUGAAUUUCACUCCUAAAGUACUUAAAGAGAGAAACAGAGAAAAAUUCGAAUCUCACCUGAGUAGUUCUGGUGGCGAAUUCAACACCAAUAGUGGAUUUAGAUUCCAAGCAAAACUCAUUCCUGGUGAAUCUCGACAAGAUAUUCGAUUUCCCAACACCAGAAUCACCAAUCAACACAAUCUUAAACAAAUAAUCAUAUUCCUGAUCUACUCUAUGCGUCAUUUUCUCCUUCUCUCUUCGAUCUCGCAAUAAAACCUACAAAUUCGAAAGAAAAAAAAGACAGAAACUUUAUUACUUUUCUCCAAAAUCAAACCCAGAUCCAACGAAAUUAAGACGAACCCACAAGUAAUUCAGAAGACGAAAAACGAUUCGUGUACCUUAAUGGCGGAUGAAUCGAGAAAAAUAUCGAAUUUUUUGAGAUCUAUAAAGAAAGAAACUUUGAGUAAGAAGCUUUAAAUGUUUGUUCUCACUCACAAUCAAUGGAGGAAAAUGGAAUUUUUCUUGUUUAAUUUGAUGGGCUUCGUCUUCUUCUUCGUGAGAAAGAGGAGAGGAGCAAUAAAGUGAAUAUACGGUGUAUCUAUACGUAUCUCUGUGUCAGGGAAUAGAAACGACGUCGCGUUUGAGAAAAAGACAAAGACUUCAGUUAUCGUGCUGAUGUGGCAACUAAUGAUUCGUUAGCAGGCUGGCAAAAAGUAAGAGCAUGUUCCAAGGGGUAUUAUUGGAAAUGUAGUUUUGAGCUUUAUAAUUGCGUUAAAGAGCAAUGAUUGUAUUUGUGAGUGUGGUAAUGAUAAUAAGCAACGUCAAUUUGAAAAUGUCGAAUUAACAACUUUAAUAGAAGAAGAAAAUAAUGAAAUGAGGAUGUGAUGAAUUGACCACUACAUUCCCAACUUCCCAUAAUAUUUGUAAGAAUAUAGUUCUGAUCCAUAUAAUAUAAUUAAACAAUGUGGUGGUUCUGGUGGCGAUGGCCGAUGGGCAAAUGAAGAUGGUAGUGGAUCAUGUGGCGGCUUUAGAAGGCAACAUGCUACAAGUCUAGUGGAAAAUACGUCGGAGAUUGCGAUGGUAAUAGGCUAAUAGCUAUAGAGGACGAGACUAGUCUUUUGGUGCGACACAUAUAGAAUGUUACAUUCUAAUCUGAUGAAGAUGAGGACCAUUAAGUCAUUAACGCUAAAUUAUUAAUCCCUGAAACGUCAUACUUUUUUUCAACCUAACGUAAUAACUUCAUUUUGUUAUAAAUUUGAUUUUGUGCCCUCUAAUAAACCAAGUUUUUUUUUUGUUUUUUUUUAUCGCAAAAACAUCAAAUAAUUAAAUUUGUUCGAAAAAGUUAGUUUCGUGGGCCAACUACUCCGAAACGAGAGGGUUUAUAUGGGAAAAAAGUACACCUCGUACUCUUGCACUCUUUGCGAGGCAGACAACACGGACAUUCAUAGUGCGUGGAAUAUGAGAUAAAGAAAACCGACCAAAACUAGCUUUAAAUCUAGCAAAAUCUUUUCCACCGGCCAAUCUUUACUUUCAUCAAGGAUCUUAAGUAAGCUUAAGCAAUCGGUUUCAAAAUGUAUAGAUUGGAUACUUUGUUGUAAAGUGCACUCCAUUGUCCAAAGAAGAGCUCCGAGUUCUGCGUAGAGGGCAUUGCGAUAACAAUUCUGGCUACUUUGACCAAACAGCUUGGUCGUUGAGCUAGUCAACAUGAACCCCAAACUAACAUUCUGGUUAAUACCAGUCCACGAAGCGUCAAUUUGGCACAUAGCUUCUCCUCUUUGAACGUGCGCAUACUCACAAGCUUCAACUACUUCAGGUUCUUCCUCCGCAUCAAUGUCAUGUUCUAGUUCUUGGGCAACUCUCCAACUUUUCGACUCAGAAAUUACAUGCGCUAGAAUAUAUGGUGUUAUGUACUCCCGUAACGUAUUUUCAAAAAGUAUAUAUUUGACCUAUUUAAACAUUUAUUACUUUAGGUUAUGAAUAAUCCUGACGCAAUUCUUGCUGAUUAGUCUUGACGCAAUUGUACGUUGCUAUUGAUUUUAAACGAAUACAGCACAAAAGAAGGCAAUCGCGUGGACGAAAGAGGAGCCGAUACAUACAAUUGCAUACAUCUAUUUGUAUACUAUAUUUGCUUUCUAUUGGAUAAUUCACCCUAACUAUUAAGAGUACAUUUAGUCACAAUAUCUAAAUUAAAUCUAUAAAUGUGAAUAUGCACAUAGAGUUUUCACAAGUGGUCAUAUUUUAAGGAUAAUAUUUGAUACAGUUCUUAAUUUCUUUGGUACAUUUUUUGUUACCUCUCUAGAAAGGUUAAUUAAUUAGAUACAUCGCCUGCAAAAGUACUUUUAAGAAAAAAUAUUCGCGUGGAGAAUAUUUCGUUCGUUCAUGUAAGGUCAAAUGAUGAACCUCUUACCCAUGAUUAGGCUGCCAUAAUUAAUAAACCGAAUUCAGAAUAUACAUUCCUUACUUCCCAUCAUUCUGAAUUGCCCAAAUUAUACUCAUUUCUAGUCAUAAUAAAAAAAAAAUUAACUUCUAGUGGUUAGUCAAUCUUUUCUUUUGUCAAGAGAAUAAAUAUCAAGUCAAAGAAAAUUCUUUCUAUUUAAUAUUUUUCUCUAUAUUCAUGAACAAACAAUACAAGUAAAAGAAAAAUAAAAGAUGAUGCAAGGAUUAGUAGAACAAGAAACGGUAGCAAAUUAAACGGUGCAUUCAAAAACCUAUUAAUAUGGAAAGUACAUUAUACUGUCAUUAAUAUAUAAGAAUAAUUUGAGAAACAAAUCUUAAAGGAGUUUGAUGAGGACUUUGAUUACGUUCUAUGUACAUACAGUAUCUCUCCCUAUAAUAAUCCUUUCAUUCUCACAAUCUUGUAAAAUUUGAUUAUAACCAAAUCAAUCAAAAAAAUGACAAAACCUGCUGUCUCCUAUUGUCUCCUCUCAUGUAUCUUUGCCUUGCUUGUUGUGAGUUUCGCUUCAGCAGACAAAGAUGAUCAAGACAAACAGGUAAUUGCACAAAUCCUUCUUCGUUAUUUGAUUAUUAUAAUCAUAUCAUGGUUCUAAUUAUAUUACUAAUGACUAACCAUAACUAUGAUGAUGAUACUUGUAGGAGUAUAUAGUAUACAUGGGUGCACUUCCUGCUCGUGUUGACUACAUGCCUAUGUCCCAUCACACUAGUAUUCUUCAAGAUGUCACCGGAGAGAGGUGCACUGAAUUUAUUCAAUUUUAUUGUUUAGUGUUAAUGUGAUUAUUUGUAUAUGGUUUCAUGUCUAUCGAUCAAAGUCUAACAAAUGUAUUUCUUAUUUGUAGUUCGAUCGAGGAUCGUUUGGUUAGGAAUUAUAAAAGGAGUUUCAACGGAUUCGCAGCCCGGCUAACCAAAUCCGAAAGAGAGAUACUAGCAAGUAAGUGAACAUAAAUGGAUUACGACCCGAAAGUUUUCAAAAAUAAUAAUCAAAACUCAAAUUAGUUUUCUUCUCUAUGAAAAAACUUUAUUAACUCAAUGUGUUGCUAUUUCUUAAUAUCUAAUUUCUUAGGUAUGGACGAAGUUGUGUCUGUGUUUCCUAACAAGAAACUGAAGCUCCAAACAACAACGUCAUGGAAUUUCAUGGGCCUCAAGGAAAGCAAACGUACAAAGCGAAAUACUAUCAUAGAGAGUGAUACAAUCAUCGGUGUCAUCGACAGUGGAAUCUAUCCGGAAUCUGAUAGUUUUAGUGGCAAAGGCUUUGGUCCUCCUCCUAAAAAAUGGAAAGGUGUUUGCAAAGGCGGCAAAAACUUCACUUGGAACAAGUAUAAAACUCUUAAAUUUGAUCAUACAAUUAAAUUGUGUAAGGAUUUUUCAAUUGCUUAGUUAUAAUGAAUGUGGAUGAUUUGUUUGUUUUAUAGCAAGCUUAUUGGAGCACGGUACUACACCCCCAAACUAGAGGGGUUUCCUGAGUCAGCGAGGGACUACAUGGGACAUGGAUCGCACACAGCAUCCACGGCUGCUGGAAAUGCUGUGAAGCAUGUGAGCUUUUACGGCCUCGGCAAUGGAACCGCAAGAGGUGGCGUUCCAGCUGCAAGAAUAGCGGUUUAUAAAGUAUGUGACCCUGGCGUCGAUGGGUGCACAACUGACGGAAUUCUAGCGGCAUUUGAUGAUGCCAUAGCGGAUAAGGUGGACAUCAUUACCAUAUCCAUUGGUGGUGAUAAUAGUUCGCCUUUUGAGGAGGACCCUAUCGCGAUCGGGGCUUUCCAUGCCAUGGCCAAGGGAAUCCUCAUAGUGAAUUCCGCAGGAAACAGUGGUCCAGAACCUAGCACGGUCGCGAGUAUUGCGCCGUGGAUGUUCACUGUUGCUGCUAGUAAUACUAACCGUGCGUUUGUCACUAAAGUUGUUCUCGGAAACGGCAAGACAGUUGUGGUAAAGUACCAAGGGACAAAUCUUUGUUCCUCUCUUACGACAACAUAUUAUCAUACAUAUCUUGUCCUCUUUUAACAUUACUGCUUGUUGCUAAACAGGGAAGAUCGGUAAAUUCGUUCGAUCUUAACGGAAAGAAGUACCCUCUAGUAUACGGGAAAUCAGCUUCAAGUAGUUGUGGUGCUGCUUCCGCCGGGUAACUUCCAUCACAAGAAACAUUAUUUUGCAUCUAUUAUGCUCUUCACAUGAGGGUUUAAACGGUGAUUUUCGUUUUCAGGUUUUGCUCACCAGGGUGCCUAGAUAGUAAACGUGUGAAAGGAAAGAUUGUUUUAUGUGAUUCCCCGCAAAAUCCCGAUGAAGCUCAAGCUAUGGGAGCCAUUGCAUCUAUUGUUAGGAGCCACCGUACAGACGUGGCAAGUAUCUUCUCUUUUCCAGUCUCUGUUCUAUUGGAAGACGACUAUAACACUGUUCUCUCGUAUAUGAACUCCACCAAGUAAUAUCCAUAACUCUGUCUUAUUAUAUUUCUUACAAAUACUCCAUCCUAAAGCUCAAACUUUUGUUUGCUUUGGCCAGGAAUCCCAAAGCGGCUGUUCUGAAAAGUGAGACAAUCUUUAACCAGAGAGCUCCCGUCGUGGCUUCCUACUUUUCUCGUGGCCCAAACACAAUCAUUCCUGACAUAUUGAAGGUAUAUAUAGAAAAGGAGAAAAAUUAAAUUACUCUGUAAAUUUGACUGAAAGUGAAUAUGUAUUGCAGCCGGAUAUAACGGCACCAGGAUCAGAGAUCGUAGCUGCUUAUUCUCCUGAUGCCCCACCAAGCAUAUCAGAUACAAGACGUGUAAAGUACUCCGUUGAUACCGGAACUUCAAUGUCUUGUCCGCAUGUUGCUGGUGUAGCUGCCUACUUAAAAUCGUUUCACCCACGCUGGUCUCCCUCCAUGAUCCAAUCAGCCAUCAUGACUACCGGUAUGCAAAAUCAUAUCCACUCUGUUUUCUGAAUAUUCUCAUCAUUUUUUUUACUCACAACAUAACUUUCUUGUAUUGCAAGAAAACUUAUAAUACUCUGUUUUUUGGUGUUUUUUGUAGCUUGGCCAAUGAAUGCAUCUACUUCUCCAUUUAACGAGUUGGCCGAGUUUGCUUACGGAGCUGGCCAUGUCGAUCCCAUAACUGCAAUUCAUCCUGGACUAGUCUAUGAAGCUAAUAAAUCCGACCACAUCGCCUUUCUCUGCGGCUUGAACUACACUGCAAAGAACUUAAGACUCAUCUCCGGUGAUAGCAGCAGUUGCACAAAAGAACAGACUAAAUCGCUACCCCGAAACUUAAACUAUCCUUCGAUGACUGCUCAAGUAUCGGCGGCAAAACCAUUCAAAGUGAUUUUCCGUAGAACAGUCACUAACGUCGGUAGGCCUAACGCUACAUACAAAGCAAAGGUAGUCGGUUCUAAACUCAAAGUCAAGGUUGUUCCGGCAGUCUUGUCUUUAAAGUCAUUGUACGAGAAGAAGUCCUUCACGGUAACAGCUUCCGGCGCCGGUCCCAAAGCUGAAAAUCUUGUCUCCGCACAGCUGAUCUGGUCUGAUGGUGUCCACUUUGUGAGAAGCCCCAUUGUUGUUUAUGCUACGAACUGAUGAGUCUGAACCAGUUAAUGUUUCUAUCUGUUCAUGCUAUAUGUUUGUUGUUGUUUUUAUUUUUUCCUCCAUCACUUUAGUUCUAAACAUCAAAUCUAGUUAUUUUUGCUGUUCUUGUAGAAAACCUUGUUGUUUUAAAUUUCGAAAUGGUCAUGAGAGUUUUGAUUUAAUUUGGAGAAUGAUCGAUGUACUUGUUUUCUUAAAUAAAAGAUAUUGAUUAGAAUCACAUUCUACUCUUAAAAUUAGGUAUAUGUAACGCUAAUUAAGGUUUUGAGUUUUGUAGCAUAUCUAUUGUUUUUUAUACCACUUUAGAUCAGAACCUUACAAGAGUUGAAAUACAAAGGGUAAAUACAUAUGUUGGCAAGGAAAACAAUCCUUCCAAGAACUAAGCCGGCGAGCACAAGACAUCUCCCGGGGACUAAGACAGAUCUAAUGGGGAAAAAACCCAAAUUAAAGAACAACAAUGAUACUAAACCUAAACUUUCAAGAUUCAUUACUAAAAAAACUCAAAACUGAAAAGCAAAGUCUAAAUCCAAAUUUUUUAAAUUAAAACAGAUCUGAAACUAUAGAUCUAUCCAAAGGAAAUAAAACCAAGACUCUCCUUACCAUAAACGGCGCUGAGACAUCAAUCAACAUCCCGGGACCCAAAAGACAAAGUCUCAAGAAGAAAGGAAGGAGAUCUAGAUCUUCAAUGGAGAGAGAUCUGCAUCUGAGGCGUUGAAGGAUAGAAAAAAACCUGCCUCUGCCAUAGUUGGAACGGCCAGAAUUGAAACUGCAGACGAAGGAGACAAACAAGCAACAAAACCGGAAGAGGAAAAGAUUUAGACUUUACAGAUUUAGAUCUGAGAAUUUAGAAAAGAAACCGUUAGAAGAAAAUAGGAUUCAGAUCACAUUAAACCCACAAGAAAUCGAAACUAGAGACACUAAAACAAAGAAAUCCGGUUCCGGUGCUGAAAAAGCCACCGGAACCGGUAACCCUAGGCGGCGGCGGAGCUUUGUAGAGAGAAAAAAAAAAUUUGUUUUAAGAGAGAGAAGGAGUUGUCGUCAGUAUGUUUUCAUUUCUAUUGCAGUCAAAAAAAAUAAAAAAAAAUUCAUUUCUAUUCAUCCAUAUAAAUAAAAACCGGUGGUGUUGGUUUAGGUGAUCUAUAGUUUUAUUAAUCAAUGUGAACAUAUAUUUUAAUUAUUUCAUGAAAAUAAAAAUGAAUACAAAUUCUACCUUAUGGAGUCUGAAACAUACGUUGGACCCAUAGUAGAAUUCGUUUUCUACCUUACACAUUCCACUAGAUCAACCGGUACUAAGAAUCUUCCAAACAUGGCCAUUGGAAUCUAAAGCGACAACGACCUUGUUGCAGAAAAAGUCGUCAAUCUAAG